rnacentral:rRNA from 1 species
UCGGAAUUACUGGGCGUAAAGCGCGCGUAGGCGGUUAUUUAAGUGAGGUGUGAAAUACCCUGGGCUCAACCUAGGAACUGCAUUUCAAACUGGAUAACUUGAGUAUGUCAGAGGGUAUUGGAAUUUCCCCGUGUAGCAGUGAAAUGCGUAGAUAUGGGAAGGAACAUCAGUGGCGAAGGCGAAUACCUGGGAUAAUACUGACGCUGAGGUGCGAAAGCGUGGGGGAGCAAACGGGGAUUAGAUACCCCUGGUAG